CAAAGGUUAACAUGAGUCACUGAGAAAAUAUGCUCUGUACAGCAUGGAAACACCAUAACAGGAGAUGGCUAUGAAGACCCAUUGUUGAACAGAUCCCAAAUGUUGGAUGUCUAUCUAUUGACAGUACCAGCACACAUGACCACUGUGACUUCUGGUGGCUUUGAACUCACAGAGAUCCUCCCUAGUGCUGGAUUUAAAGGUGUGUGCCACCCCUGCCUGCUGUCUAUGGCUAACUAAUGUGGCUGGCUCUGCACUGUUAUCUUCAGGCAAGCUUUAUUUGUUAGAUCACAAAUAUGAUAUCACCACACAAUGCCUUUUAGAGAAAGAAGGCUCUGCUCAAUCUAC
rnacentral:lncRNA from 1 species